rnacentral:rRNA from 1 species
AGCGAACGCUGGCGGCAGGCCUAACACAUGCAAGUCGAGCGCCGUAGCAAUACGGAGCGGCAGACGGGAGAGUAACACGUGGGAACGUACCCUUUGGUUCGGAACAACCCAGGGAAACUUGGGCUAAUACCGGAUAAGCCCUCACGGGGAAAGAUUCAUCGCCGAAGGAUCGGCCCGCGUCUGAUUAGCUAGUUGGUGGGGUAAUGGCCCACCAAGGCGACGAUCAGUAGCUGGUCUGAGAGGCUGAUCAGCCUCACCGGGACUGAGACACGGCCCAGACUCCUACGGGAGGCAGCAGUGGGGAAUAUUGGACAAUGGGCGCAAGCCUGAUCCAGCCAUGCCGCGUGGGUGAUGAAGGCCCUAGGGUUGUAAAGCCCUUUCGGCGGGGAAGAUAAUGACGGUACCCGCAGAAGAAGCCCCGGCUAACUUCGUGCCAGCCGCCGCGGUAAUAC